rnacentral:rRNA from 1 species
GGUCCUUGAUGUGUAGGAUAGGUGGGAGGCUUUGAAGCGUGGACGCCAGUCUGCGUGGAGCCAUCCUUGAAAUACCACCCUUUAAUGGCUGGUGUUCUAACGUAGACCCGUGAUCCGGGUUGCGGACAGUGUCUGGUGGGUAGUUUGACUGGGGCGGUCUCCUCCCAAAGAGUAACGGAGGAGCACGAAGGUUGGCUAAUCCUGGUCGGACAUCAGGAGGUUA